CCAGGACUCAGGAACCCUGGGGAAUGACCCUGUUCCUCACCUGCCAUUCAGGCCUUCCUUGCUUCCUUGAGGUGGACAUCCCUAGCGGACUCUCCAAAGAGGGUUCUGAAAGUUGGACAGCAUUGACCGUUCUGCUCUUUGAAGCUCUCAUCUGAGGGUGGGAGGAGCCCCAGUGGCCUUCCUGGGACAUGGCCUGAGGGUGCAUCUGGGGACUUACCAGCUCCAGCAGCUGAGCGCUUCACUUCUUUAUGACCUGCAUCCACCAGGUCUGCAAAGAGCGCACCAAUGUCACUUCAAGUACAUAGCUGCUGUAAGGAGCAAGUUAUAUUCCCCUCUGUGAGGGGGAUUGCAGAGGGUAAGCAGCAGCAUGGUGAGGACCUUGACCUGGGACACUAGUACAUCAGGUGCCUGACCCUCAGUCAGAAGUUGCAGCUGUUCCAGGCAGAUUCGGGAAUCAAUAGCGGCCUUUAUCCACCGAGUUCCCCUCAGUGCCAAAUCUGAUGCUGGGUACAGAGUCCCCAAGUCUCAAAAGAAGUGGGUCUGCCCCUGAAAGUCUCUGCGGGGGCAGGAGCAGGGGCUGACAUCCUAUACUGAGCAGAAAGGAGAAGACACACUGAACACUGGCAUUCACCUCCUUCUCUGAUGACUGCUGACACAAGGUGACCAACUGGCUCAGACUCUGGCCACCAUGCCUUUGGACUGUCCCCUCAGAC
rnacentral:lncRNA from 1 species